UAUAAUUUACUUGAUCUUGACACAAUCCUACUUGGAUAACUGUGGUAAUUCUAGAGCUAAUACAUGCAUUAAAGCUCUGACCUCACGGGAAGAGUGCACUUAUUAGAACAAAACCAAGCGGCUUCGGCUGUUUUCGGUUGACUCAUAGUAACUGAGCUGAUCGCACGGUCUUGCACCGGCGACGUGUCUUUCGAGUAUCUGCCGUAUCAACUUUCGAUGGUAGUGUAUCUGACUACCAUGGUGAUCACGCGUAACGGAGAAUAAGGGUUCGGCUCCGGAGAGUUCGCCUGAGAAAUCGCGAACACAUCUAAGGAAGGCAGCAGGCGCGAAAAUUACCCACUCUCAGCGCGAGGAGGUAGUGACGAAAAAUAACGAGACCGUUCUCUUAUGAGGCCGGUCAUCGGAAUGGGUACAAUUUAAACCCUUUAACGAGUAUCUAUGAGAGGGCAAGUCUGGUGCCAGCAGCCGCGGUAAUUCCAGCUCUCAAAGUGCAUAGAAUUAUUGCUGCGGUUAAAAAGCUCGUAGUUGGAUCUGUGCCAUAGGACGUGGUCCACCUUCUGGGUGCGUACUAUGUUCCUAGGCUUUUUGCUGGUUUUCCCGUCGUAGCCUUCAUUGGUUGCGGCGGGUGGCUGGCGAGUUUACUUUGAGAAAAUCAGAGUGCUCAACACAGGCGUAUCGCUUGAAUGAUUGUGCAUGGAAUAAUAGAAAAGGAUUUCGGUCCUCUUUUAUUGGUUUUGUGGACUGAGAUAAUGGUUAACAGGGACCAACGGGGGCAUUCGUAUCGCUGCGUGAGAGGUGAAAUUCUUGGACCGUAGCGAGACGCCCUACUGCGAAAGCAUUUGCCAAGAAUGUCUUCAUUAAUCAAGAACGAAAGUCAGAGGUUCGAA
rnacentral:rRNA from 1 species